rnacentral:lncRNA from 1 species
UUUUGGCAAGUGCUUCUUCAAGGCCGAUGGCUCCACCCAGAGAAUAUGCUGUUGACUUCUUCGUUCCUUGGCUACAUUUUCUUACCUGCAGGUGCCCUCUUCCCCAGAAAUCUACCUCUACAGACUUCUCCCACAAUACUGGGUUUCAGGUCAACUAUGCUCCCCAUCCUAGCCCCUUUAUACCAACAUCCUUCACAUCUACUCUCAGGGAAUCAGCUCCCGGGGUCCUAGUUCCUUCCUCUGCUCAUAUGGCUCCUGCAAUGGAUGUUUCUACCAAGCAAGCUCAGGGAUAGUUCAUGGUGCCAGGUGUGUGACUUGUGUUAUAAACAGAGAGUAUACAACUACUGGGCUCUGAAGAACACCACCCUGGUAGAAGGCUCCACAUCUCCUGGCCCUGCUGCUGUUCUUUCUACUUCACAACCCCAUGUCAGUGUGUUGCUUCUGGGUCACACUGUCUGAAGAAAGAUGGGGGUCCUAAAAUAGUGCUGCAAUCAUUCAGUGGCCUAAGUUCCUUUGUUCUCAACCCAGUGCCCUGUGUUCCCAGUUCUGACUCUAGUGUCUAAGCUCAUGUCAUGAAGGAGGUAGACUCUAGAGGGAAACCGAGAAGAGGCGCUGUAGUGAUAUGCCAGAUGCAGGCUAAGACUCCAUUAAACAUGCAGCCUGAGCUCUUACCCAAAACAAAAUGAAGCACCAUGGCAUUUGAAGACUGGCACCAUGCCCAGAAGCCCAGAAUGGCAAAAAAGGAAGAUAAAGGAUAUGUGUAUUUCCUGGACCCUCAAAAACAUCAGCAUACCGAACACACUGGGCAGUGUUCAUACUCCCAAGUGAGAUGCAGCCACACUGGGGACCACUACAUCCCUCUUUCAGGAACCAGGUAGUUCCCUAGCUACCAUCAUGAGCAUGCCACCCUAUUCUUCUGGGGAUAGGUGAGAGUGUGGAACAGGGGUGGUGGAUGGGGGGAGAUUAAUAGAGAAGGGCCAGUUAGAGGACUGAGCAUAGGAUCGUACCACUGUGGAUCAGUUCCCAGGAAGUGGGUAAUUUGGAAAAAUUGUUGUCACACUUAGGGUAUUCCUGGUGUCUAGGGUGUGGAGACCAGGGGUGCAACGAAGCAUGUAUAGUGUACAGACCAUCUCCAUAGCAAAGAAGUACCCAGGUCAAAAUGUCAAUGUGUGAAGAUCGAGAAAACCUGUAUUUAUUAGUAUGGUGUCCGACACUGGCAUUUUCCAGGAAAAAAAAUCUCUGUCCUUUCUGUUUUAGACUUCAGUCUUUUUUAUAUAAAAUAUCUGAUGCUUCAAACUGAACUUCUUUCCAUUGACAGCCUAUCUUUUUUUCUAACUAGCCCAUGGAUUUUUUUUUCUACCCUGGUGUUUGGUUUCAUGUCGUUCUGAAAUCAGAGAUAUGUUAUAUAGAUGGCUGUGUUGCUGAGGCUGGAUCAAAAGACAUGGGCAAACACAAGGAAAGAGUUGGGGGAGCUGUGUUCAGAAUUCUUUUUCAGAAAUAAUCUCAGACAGCCAGGCUGUCUCUGCCCCUGCAGUUGCCUGGCUUCUUGUUCCCUAACAUAAGCUGUGGACAAGAUAGACAUGGGAGGAGAUAGAGGGCAGGAGUCACAAGACGCCUAUCAUUAGAAAAAGGACAGUGGAGAAGGUAAGAUUGUGACAGCCAAGCCAAGAAGAUUCACACCAAGGAGGUGUGGCCCAGGACACAGAGGAACUUUAGUACUAUCCUAGAGUCACACUGUAUUUUGUAAUGCUAAUUUCUCUCAUCACAACAUUCAUACAUGAUAGGUGUGCCUUUAUCCAGUUGCCUUUUCUGCAGUGCCCUGUUGGGUGCUUUAAAGUAUGAGGUACCUUGAUGAUUCGAGACAGGCCUCUCUAACUAGAGUCCAUCUGGAAGAAGCCAGGCACCUGGCUACCUCACUUCUAAACGUGUCCAGUGGAUUUUAACACAUUCACAGAUAAGUAUAAAUUCUUGUUGAUGAGUGAUGGGGCACACUCUCUAGGCAAGAUGGAGUUAAAAGUGAAGUUUUGGCCUCAGAGGCAGGCAUAAUUGCCCCUCAGACUCUCCUACAAGCCUUGCUAGUCUCCUCUGUGUACCCUAGGAACUUAGAACACCCUUCAUUACUAUCAAAAUUCACAAGAGGCAAACUAGGCAUGUUUUCCACAGUAUAGACAAACAUGCUGACCUGUCAAGAUGCUACUUAACACCUCAAUACCAAACAUCAUUAUAUGAUAUUUCUCAGUAUCAAAUUCUCAAUAUCAAAUAAAUAAUUAAUAAAUAGAUAAAUAAUAAAUAAAUAAAUAAAUAAAUAAAUAAAUAAAUAAAUAAAAUCAAGAAUGCAUCAGUGGAUUUUGAACCCAGAAAAUUUCAGGAUGGUUUUGUUUGUUUUAUUUUGUUUUGUUUUUAGAGACAGACUUUCUCUGUGUAGUGUUGGCUGUCCUGGAACUCACUCUGUAGAACAGGCUGGCCUCAAACUCAAAGAUCCAUCUGCUUCUGCUUCCCAAGUGCUGGAAUUUUAGGUGUGUGCCACCACUGCCUGGCCAUACUUUCUUCUCAAUGACUUCUAUUUAUCAAGAAGAAGAAAACAUGUUAGCCAGUAACUAGCCCCAAAGGAGAAAGUUGGUUUUCUGCAAGCACUCAACUAUCUUUUCGGCCUACAUCUUUCCUCUCCUUAUGCCAAUACCUUAUGGAGAUAGCAAGCCAUAUUUUCGGGGAGCCUUUCCUUCUUACCUACACUUGAUCUCACUUUACUACUAACAAGCCGAAAGCAGAGGAUACCCCUUCUAUUCAAUGGUUCUCAAACUUUAGAUACCUCAGAAUCACUGGGAAAGCAGGGUACAUGAGUUUGGGGACCCCACUCCUGGGUAUGUCAGGGUGGUAAAUGUUACUUUUCGCUUAAAAGGUCAACUUGUAAGUUCUUACAUACUGGAAUCCAGACUUCUUCAUGAUCUACAAGAACCAAAAAUGCCUCUGUUUCCCUCGAUAGACUCUACUAAAGUCAGUUCCACCCAUUCUUUCAAACCAAAGGACUGUGAUAGCUAUUACUGGGAGAAGGAAUGAAUAUAAUAUAUUUAAAUAAUAAAAAAACUGUCAAACAAUGUAAAUUAGUGAAUUGUAGUUACCAUAUUCAUAUGAAUGAGCCUUACAGAUAUCAUGUAAGGUAAAAUUAAAAUGCCACAGAUAAAUAUUUAUAAUAUUAAAAUAUAUUGAUUCAGAACAUGCAUAAAUGAGAAAAGCUAUAAAGAAAAACAUCUAAAUUACAAGAAAACAAGAAACUCAGUAUCAUAGUUACUGUAUAUUCCCCACCCACUUAUAUUUCAUUUUUAAUGCAAACAUGAUACAUUCAUAGAGGGUUAUAUAAUGUACAUUUACAUAUGCAUACAAAUAUACUUGACAAUGUUAAGGUUAUUUUAGAAUAUAAAAGAAAAGAGUGUCUAUUUUUUCCAUAUUCUAUAACUGUAUUCCAUUUUCGUGCCUAAUGUUCCAAUU